rnacentral:misc_RNA from 1 species
GAUGAAGAACGUAGCGAAAUGCGAUAAGUAAUGCGAAUUGCAGAAUUUCCGUGAGUCAUCGAAUCUUUGAACGCACAUUGCGCCCACUGGUAUUCCGGUGGGCAUGCCUGUUCGAGCGUCAUUAUCCUCCCUCAAACCUCGGGUUUGGUGUUGGACCCAAGUUGUGUGAACAACUGGUCUUAAAGACAAUGACGGCGUCCGUGGGACCCUCGGUGCAACGAGCUUCUAGGAGCACGCGUCGAGUUUCAAGGACCUUCCGGGCCGGUCUCCUUUACCAUUUUACAAGGUUGACCUCGGAUCAGGUAGGAAUACCCGCUGAACUUAAGCAUAUCAAUAAGCGGAGGA